rnacentral:rRNA from 1 species
CAGCAGCCGCGGUAAUACGAAGGGGGCUAGCGUUGCUCGGAAUGACUGGGCGUAAAGGGCGCGUAGGCGGUUCGGAUAGUUAGAUGUGAAAUUCCCGGGCUUAACCUGGGGACUGCAUUUGAUACUUCCGGGCUUGAGUGUGGAAGAGGGUCGUGGAAUUCCCAGUGUAGAGGUGAAAUUCGUAGAUAUUGGGAAGAACACCGGUGGCGAAGGCGGCGACCUGGUCCAUAACUGACGCUGAGGCGCGAAAGCGUGGGGAGCAAACAGGAUUAGAUACCCGCGUAGUCCCUGUCUCUUAUAC